UGGGGAAUCUUGCACAAUGGGGGAAACCCUGAUGCAGCGACGCCGCGUGAGCGAUGAAGCCCUUCGGGGUGUAAAGCUCUUUCGGCAGGGAAGAUGAUGACGGUACCUGCAGAAGCAGCUGCGGCUAACUACGUGCCAGCAGCCGCGGUAAUACGUAGGCAGCGAGCGUUGUUCGGAGUUACUGGGCGUAAAGGGUGUGUAGGCGGUUGUUUAAGUUUGGUGUGAAAUCUCCCGGCUCAACUGGGAGGGUGCGCCGAAUACUGAAUGACUUCGAGUGCGGGAGAGGAAAGUGGAAUUCCUGGUGUAGCGGUGAAAUGCGUAGAUAUCAGGAGGAACACCGGUGGUGUAGACGGCUUUCUGGACCGUAACUGACGCUGAGACACGAAAGCGUGGGUAGCAAACAGGAUUAGAUACCCUGGUAGUCCACGCCCUAAACGAUGAAUAUUUGGUGUGGGCAGUUCAUUCUGUCCGUGCCGGAGCUAACGCGUUAAAUA
rnacentral:rRNA from 1 species